rnacentral:rRNA from 1 species
CCUACGGGGAGCAGCAGUGAGGAAUAUUGGUCAAUGGACGCAAGUCUGAACCAGCCAAGUAGCGUGCAGGAUGACGGCCCUCCGGGUUGUAAACUGCUUUUAGUUGGGAAUAAAAGGGGGCUCGUGAGCCCCGUAUUGUAUGUACCAUCAGCACAAGGACCGGCUAAUUACGUGCCAGCAGCCGCGGUAAUACGGAAGGUCCGGGCGUUAUCCGGGUUUAUUUGGUUUCAAGGGAGCGUAGGCCGGCUUUUAAGUCCGCUGGGAACGUCCGCGGCUCAACCGUGGAAUUGCAGUUGAAACUGGAGGCAGUGAAGGCACACAGGGAUGCCGGAAUUCAUGGUGUAGCGGUGAAAUGCUUAGAGA